rnacentral:rRNA from 1 species
CCCUUAGCUGUCCUGGGCCGCACGCGCGUUACACUGAUGCAUUCAACGAGCUUAUAACCUUGGCCGAGAGGCCUGGGCAAUCUUGUUAACGUGCAUCGUGAUAGGGAUAGAUUAUUGAAAUUAUUAAUCUUGAACGAGGAAUUCCUAGUAAACGCAGAUCAUCAAUCUGCAUUGAUUACGUCCCUGCCCUUUGUACACACCGCCCGUCGCACCUACCGAUUGGAUGGUCCGGUGAAGCCUCGGGAUUGUGGUUCUUGCCGCUUUAUUGUGGCGUGACCGCGAGAACUUGUCUAAACCUUAUCAUCUAGAGGAAGGUGAAGUCGUAACA